rnacentral:rRNA from 1 species
CCUACGGGGGGCAGCAGUGGGGAAUAUUGGACAAUGGGGGCAACCCUGAUCCAGCCAUGCCGCGUGUGUGAAGAAGGCCCUCGGGUUGUAAAGCACUUUCAGUGAGGAAGAACGCCUGGUGGUUAAUACCCAUCAGGAAAGACAUCACUCACAGAAGAAGCACCGGCUAACUCCGUGCCAGCAGCCGCGGUAAUACGGAGGGUGCGAGCGUUAAUCGGAAUUACUGGGCGUAAAGCGCGCGUAGGUGGCUUGAUAAGCCGGUUGUGAAAGCCCCGGGCUCAACCUGGGAACGGCAUCCGGAACUGUCAAGCUAGAGUGCAGGAGAGGAAGGUAGAAUUCCCGGUGUAGCGGUGAAAUGCGUAGAGAUCGGGAGGAAUACCAGUGGCGAAGGCGGCCUUCCGGACUGACACUGACACUGAGGUGCGAAAGCGUGGGUAGCAAACAGGAUUAGAUACCCUAGUAGUC